UAAGCCCUACCUUAGGGCAUGCCAGGAGCCUGCUGGAGGUGUCAGUGUUACUGGAAAAGAAGCCCAACCCAGACCCCAAGAGAAGGUUCUUGGAACUCGUACAAGAAAGAAUUCUGGGAGGUGCUGGCCAUUCCAGGUACCAUGAGGCCAAUGAAAUCAAUGUUCUGUCCUUUCCUUCAUGGUACUGACUGAAGAUCUUUAUCUGAUGUGUUGGAUCACAGGCACAGGCAGGGACAAGAGACAGCUUCUACACAUGUCCCAGCCUCUGCUUCACUGGGAACAGGAAGUUGCUCUGAAGUAGACCCCUGAGCAACACAGGUAUAUGAGGAUUUUCCUCCGCCUCGGCCACCCCUGAGACAGCAAGAUCAAUCCUUCCUCUUCCUCCUCUUCCUCCACCUCCUCAAUGUGAAGAUGAUGAGA